GUGAAGAUGAAAAUGCUUUAUCAAUUUUUGAGACCAAUUGUCACUCAGGAUCACCAAAGAAACAGUCAUCAUCUGCUGCUAUACAUAAACCCUACCUUCAUUUUACAAUGUCACCAUAUCAUCAGCCAACCUCUUACAGGCCACGCUUAUUGCUCUCUGGAGAACGGGGCUCAGGUCAAACUUCUCACCUUGCUCCAGCACUUUUGCACACUCUAGAAAGAUUCUCUGUGCAUAGACUAGAUCUCCCAGCACUUUAUUCAGUUAGUGCCAAAACACCUGAGGAAUCAUGUGCACAGUUUUUCUGUUUUCUACUACACCUUGC
rnacentral:lncRNA from 1 species